UGGAGACUGUCCAGAUCUCUGUGUGUCCUGACUGUAGGGGAGGUCCUAGUGGAGACUGUCCAGAUCUCUGUGUGUCCUGACUGUGUGUUUAUGUCCUAGUGGAGACUGACCAGAUCUCUGUGUGUCCUGACUGUAGGGGAGGUCCUAGUGGAGACUGUCCAGAUCUCUGUGUGUCCUGACUGUAGGGGAGGUCCUAGUGGAGACUGUCCAGAUCUCUGUGUGUCCUGACUGUGUGUUUAUGUCCUAGUGGAGACUGUCCAGAUCUCUGUGUGUCCUGACUGUAGGGGAGGUCCUAGUGGAGACUGUCCAGAUCUCUGUGUGUCCUGACUGUGUGUUUAUGUCCUAGUGGAGACUGUCCAGAUCUCUGUGUGUCCUGACUGUAGGGGAGGUCCUAGUGGAGACUGUCCAGAUCUCUGUGUGUCCUGACUGUAGGGGAGGUCCUAGUGGAGACUGUCCAGAUCUCUGUGUGUCCUGACUGUGUGUUUAUGUCCUAGUGGAGACUGUCCAGAUCUCUGUGUGUCCUGACUGUAGGGGAGGUCCUAGUGGAGACUGUCCAGAUCUCUGUGUGUCCUGACUGUGUGUUUAUGUCCUAGUGGAGACUGUCCAGAUCUCUGUGUGUCCUGACUGUAGGGGAGGUCCUAGUGGAGACUGUCCAGAUCUCUGUGUGUCCUGACUGUAGGGGAGGUCCUAGUGGAGACUGUCCAGAUCUCUGUGUGUCCUGACUGUGUGUUUAUGUCCUAGUGGAGACUGACCAGAUCUCUGUGUGUCCUGACUGUAGGGGAGGUCCUAGUGGAGACUGUCCAGAUCUCUGUGUAUCCUGACUGUAGGGGAGGUCCUAGUGGAGACUGUCCAGAUCUCUGUGUGUCCUGACUGUAGGGGAGGUCCUAGUGGAGACUGUCCAGAUCUCUGUGUGUCCUGACUGUGUGUUUAUGUCCUAGUGGAGACUGUCCAGAUCUCUGUGUGUCCUGACUGUAGGGGAGGUCCUAGUGGAGACUGACCAGAUCUCUGUGUGUCCUGACUGUAGGGGAGGUCCUAGUGGAGACUGACCAGAUCUCUGUGUGUCCUGACUGUAGGGGAGGUCCUAGUGGAGACUGACCAGAUCUCUGUGUGUCCUGACUGUAGGGGAGGUCCUAGUGGAGACUGACCAGAUCUCUGUGUGUCCUGACUGUAGGAGAGGUCCUAGUGGAGACUGUCCAGAUCUCUGUGUGUCCCGACUGUAGGGGAGGUCCUAGUGGAGACUGUCCAGAUCUCUGUGUGUCCUGACUGUAGGGGAGGUCCUAGUGGAGACUGACCAGAUCUCUGUGUGUCCUGACUGUAGGGGAGGUCCUAGUGGAGACUGACCAGAUCUCUGUGUGUCCUGACUGUAGGGGAGGUCCUAGUGGAGACUGACCAGAUCUCUGUGUGUCCUGACUGUAGGGGAGGUCCU